rnacentral:rRNA from 1 species
CCACGAACUGCGCGAACGUUGUUCGGAAUCACUGGGCUUAAAGAGUGCGUAGGCGGCCAAGUAAGUUGGAUGUGAAAGCCCCCGGCUCAACCGGGGAAUUGCGUUCAAUACUGCUUGGCUUGAGGAAGACAGAGGUGAGUGGAACUGAUGGUGGAGCGGUGAAAUGCGUUGAUAUCAUCAGGAACACCGGUGGCGAAGGCGGCUCACUGGGUCUUUUCUGACGCUGAGGCACGAAAGCUAGGGGAGCGAGCGGGAUUAGAAACCCUUGUAGUCC